ACCUGGCUGGCUCAGUCAGAAGAGCAUGCGACUCUCGAUCGCAAGGUCAUGAGUUUGAGCCCCACGUUGGGUG
rnacentral:tRNA from 1 species